UACGUAGGGUCCGAGCGUUAUCCGGAAUCAUUGGGCGUAAAGAGCUCGUAGGCGGUUCAGCAAGUCGGCUGUGAAAGUCCGGGGCUCAACCCCGGAAUUGCAGUCGAUACUGCUGUGACUCGAGUCCGGUAGAGGAGAACGGAAUUCCCGGUGUAGCGGUGAAAUGCGCAGAUAUCGGGAGGAACACCAGUGGCGAAGGCGGCUCACUGGCCCGGUACUAACGCUGAGGUGCGAAAGCGUGGGGAGCAAACAGG
rnacentral:rRNA from 1 species